rnacentral:lncRNA from 1 species
GGUGCUGACUGAAGAGUCCAAGUAUCUCCAAGCCAGUGUUAGCCUGCUGAUGGGUUGGGCCAUGGGGAAUCCCAGGACUAAUGCUGUCUCACUGGUAUGUAGAGGUGUGUGCUGCAGUCUUCAGCUUCAGGGCCCUGGGGGUUCCAAAGCUGGCUUCAGCCCAUUGGUGGGCAGGGCUAGAUCCUGGGACUGCUGGCUGAAAGGCCUAAGUUGUCCCACAGCUGUUGGGCAUGGCCAGACCCUGGAAGUUCCCAGGGUUGGUACGAGGCUCCUAGUUUGCUGUCUGGGUCCUGACAAGGCAGACUGCAGGACUACAUUGGUCCUGGGGCCAGUGUCUGCCUGCUUCUGUGUGAGGUCCAGGUCCAAGAUAUCCUAGGGCUGGUGGGCUGCCCACCCAGGUAUGGGUCUUGACUAUAAUCUGAUUUUACCCCUCCUACACAUCCCAUUGUCAUUGUGGUUUCUUCUUUAGAUAUUUAGUUAUAAAGGAUCUUUUCUGGUGGAUUCUGAUCUUUCUCAUCUAUAGUUGCUCUCUAAAUAGUUGUAAUUUUGCUGUGCCCAUGAGAGGAGGUGAGCUCAGAGUCUUCCUACUCCACCAACUUGGCCAAGCUUUCCUGUGGCUUUCUUAUGUACAUGAUGAUUAUUCUUAAAUUUAUUUCUGCAGUUCAUGGCUAUUUAUUUAUUUAUGUAUUUGCUUUUUAGGGCUGCACUACAGCAUAUGGAAAUUCCCAAGCUAGGGGUUGAAUCAGAGCUGCAGCUGUGAGCCACAGCCACAGCCACAGCCACAGCCACAGCAAGGUGGAAUCCUAGCCACAUCUGCAACCUAUGCCACAGCUUGUGGCAAUGCUGGAUCCUUAACCCACUGAGUGAGGCCAGGGAUCAAAUCCACAUCCCUAGGCAGGUUUGUUACCACUGCGCCACGAUGGGAACUCCCUGCAGUUCUUGGUUUUUUUCUGAGUUCCUGACUACUAUCCUCAGCUGCCCACUUGACAUCUCCAAUUAUACAUCUCAUAUCUCAAAGUCAUCAUGUUUAAAUAAAAUUCAUCAUCUUCUUUCACAAACUUGUUCUUAUCUUGGCAUUCCUUGUCUUGGUAAGGGGCACUACAAUCCAUCCACCCAAGUGCUCAAAGAAGCAAAAAAGUAGGAUACAUCUUUGGCUCCAUCCCCAUAUCCAAUCGAUCUGUGAUCUGCAAGUUCUGUCCAUCAUACUUCAAAUCUGCUCUACUUUCUACAUUCCAAUCAGCACUCUAAUGCAGACCAUUGCCAUUUCACACACAAACUGCUGCAAACCUGUGUAAUUGCUGUUGCUACAUCCUCCCCAUUUUCCACCAAUUCAGAAAUAGCAUGGACAGUAAUGUUAAUAAAAUGUGGCAAAUAGUACAUUUAACUUACUUUUCGGAAUACCCCCAAACACUUUUAUUUAAUAUAGAACAUUUGUAUACAUAGCAUAGUAGUACUAACUAUAAAUCAGAUAGCCCAAGGCUUUUCAUUAAUAGCAAAAUAUUAAACUAAAAAAAUUAAACUAAAUUUCUCCCCAAUUAAGAACCAGACUACUAGAUUUCAAUGCACACAUAUACAAGCACAAGCAUAUAUAUUUUUGGCACACCUUGCAGCCACUGAAACAUUUUUUGUCUUUUUAGGGCCGCACCCACGGCAUACGGAAGGCUAGGGGGUCCAAUAGGAGCUCUAGCUGGCGGCCUACACCACAGCCAGAGCAACAUCAGAUCCGAGCCGUGUUUACAGCCUUCACCACAGCUCAGGGCAAUGCCAGAUCCUUAACUGAGCAAGGCCAGGGAUCAAAUCAUGGAUACUAGUCAGAUUCAUUUCUGCUGAGCCAGGACAGGAAGUCCAGAACUAAAUUUUUUUUAUUACUCAAUGAAUUUAUUACAUUUAUAGUUGUACAAUGAUCAUCACAAUCCAAUUUUACAGGAUUUCCACCUCAUAACCCCAGAGCAUCCCCCCACCCCCCAGAACUAAAUUAAAAAAAAAAAAUCAGAAUAAGACUUAUUUGUAUGAUGUUACCGGAAUUAUUCUAAACAACAGAAAUCUAAGAGAAGGAGACUGGACACCAAAAUGUUAACUGUGUUUAUAUUUUUUCCUGUUACUCCAUAAUAUAAAUAAAUACCUUGUAUUUUUUUAAAAUAAACAUUUUAAAAACCAAAGUGAGAUAGAGUUCCCUGAUGAUGCGGCAGGUUAAAUUCCCAGUGUUGUCACUGUUGUGGCUUGGGUCAUAGCUAUGGCACAGGUUCAAUUCUUAGCCCCAGAAUUUCUGUGUGCUGCAGGUGCAGCCAAAAAAAAAAAAAAGUAAGAGUAUUGUUACACUGAAAGAGUUGUAUCAGUGCAGGGGCAGUUUAAAGAUUAGAGGCUAAAAACAUUAACUUUGGGGCCAGAAGUCCCUGGAUUUAUGCCCCAGUUGUGUGAAUGUGAUCUCUGGGAAAUGAAAAUCUCUCUUUAUCUUUGGAUAGCUCAUGUAAGAGGAGGACAUUUGAUGUAUCUAUCUCAGAUUGUUGCUGAAAUUAUUAAAUGAGAUACUACAAAGCAAUUUGCCCAGUCCCUGGCAUAUAAUAAAUACUCAGUAAAUGGUAGGUGGUUGCUCUUUGGAUUGGCUUGGCAGAGUGAAUAUGUGAAAACCCAGAUUCAGAAGGUAAUCAGCCUUAAUCUCUAGCUGUUCUGGGUAUUACUGUCUCUCCAACCAGACAGUAGGCUCCUUUAUGUCAUGGACUCAUAUUUCUGCCUUCUCAAUUCUAAUAUUGCUUGUGUUGUUGUUUUUCAUUUAAAAAGUAAUAUAAGCUCAUUGAAAUUAGUCCAAAAAUACUAGUUUCCCCCUCACAUUCUUCCUUUUCUGUACAGUUGUCCUCAGUAUCUGCAGGACCCUGGUGGAUAACAAAAUCCAUGGGUGCUUAAAUCCCUUAUGUUAUAUGGCAAAUAAUUUAUGUAUAACCUAUGCACAUGCUCCCAUAUGCUUUAAAGCAUCCCUCGAUUACUUAUACUAUCUCAUACAAUAUAAAUGCUAUCUAAAUAAUUGCUAAUGCAGCAGAUUCAGUUUUGCUUUUUGGAAUUUUCUGGAUUUUUUUCUGAAUAUGUUCUAUCCACAACUGGUUGAAUCUAAGGGUGCAGAACCUGCAGAUACAGAGGGCUGACUGUAUCUCAUUGCAAGAGGUAAUAUACAGUUUGAUUCUGGAUUUGGGAAGGGGGAAAGUUGUGUUUGAUUUAUAAAAACUGUUUGUGUGUGUGUGAGAGAGAGAGAGAGGGAGAGAGAAAAUGUGCUUCCCAUCCGCUUAUAUGUUUCCCUUAACAAGGACAGUUUACUGAAUAAGAGCCUACGGAAUGAUUUUAUUAUUAUUAUUAUUGCCUAUACGGUACUUCAUAAUGUAGAAUUACUUCACUAUUAGUUUGUUCUUUAAGGCUUGUUCAUUCAUUUAUUUCAUUCACUAAAUAAUUAUAUACCAGGCACUGAAUCCUGGGAAAAUUAUAAAUAGUGCCUCUAUAAACAUCUUUAUGCAAUUUUUUAAAAAAGCCAACUUUCCCAUUGCUAAGACAUAUGUUUAGAAAAUUCACAUGGUGAUUCUUAGCUAAACAACAUGGGCACAAAAUGGGAACUCAAUAAACAUUUGUUGCUUGAGUCAGUGCCUUCGUUUGUGCACAGCAGGAGUUAUUAUAAGAGGAGAUAAGUACUACAGAUAUAUAUGUUUUCCUAACUUAAUCAGUAUGUUUUAUCAUACCAAAGGAAUAUCUGUAAAACUUGAUUUACAGUAUGUACUGGUUUAAAAAAGAAACGGACAGGAACACAACUGUCAGCCCUUUCUCUCUCUUAGAACAUUCAGCAUUAUUAUUUUUGGAAAGUGACUAAUCGGGGACUUAGUAAACUUUGAUAUGUUGUAAGAACAAAAAGGUUCAGUUGAAAAAAAAAAUCACCUCUCACUGUGAGACGGACAAGUCAGUCAGUGUUUUUCACAACAUAGAAAUAAGAUGAAUAAUUUGCUUUCUCAGAUGUUGAUAACGAGUAGAAUGGAACUCAAUCAUAAUUAGCCUAUUACAUUUACUGGAGGAUAUUUAAAUUACAUAAUAAAAUCACCUAGUUAUUUAUUUCACAAUAUUUACACUGAGGCGCAAUAGUAACCACAAAUUCAAAACUAGUCAUUAAGCAGCCCCCGUGCCAAUGGAGACCUUCCUAUGAUGGAGUGCAGAAUUUACAUCUGCAACAAAGCAUGUAGGUUGCCAGGCCUUCUUUUGAGCUUUCUGACUUCACCCAUGUACAUAGGCCCCAGAGCCCACAAUAUCAUUUCUUUAAAUCUAUAGAAAAUCUUAUUUAAACACAUCUCCAUAAUGUCUGAACAUGUUGGUUGUAAAGUAGGGAGUACAUGGAAUAUUCACUCAAACUUGCCUAUGGCUACACAUUUGAAAUCUGGUCCUUCUGUGUUCAUCAGCGGACUGGUGAACAGCAGACCCAAGUCUCUGAUUAGAUCUGUGAUUGUCUAUAAAAACUAUUGUUUUGAAUUUCCAUUUACUUUGCAUCCUACAAACAAAUCCAUUUGCUAGUGCCUUCUGGGCAAAAUGCCUGGGCUUCGUAAAAAACGAACUCCUAUUGAAAAGGAAAAAUAAGCCCAAGGUAAGUAAAUUUCAAUUGUCAGUGUUCUCUUCUGGGUUCUUACCUUUCAGUAGCUUGAAAUGACUGCAUUUUCCAGGACAAAGAUGUUGAACCUUUGGUUAAUUUCAGGAGCAUUUUCAUUUAGGGGAAAUUUCUGUGGUGACAACAGUUGUCAGUUUCAGGGUUUUUUCUGUAUUUUUUUUUUCUAUUACUAUCCUGUUUAAUUACCAUAAACUGAUGGUUGUUUACCUCCAUGAUUUCUGUACUGGGCACCUAGACACGCCUCUGGAUUAUUUUUGUUGAUUAUGUGUAAUCACCCAAAAGCUAGUUCAAAUCCUAAACAAUUACCCUGUCCGAAAGUAGAAAUUAACAUAAAACAUAUCUCAAUGUAAUUCAAUAAAGAUUUGGGCAAAUUCUCUCU